GCUGAUGUGGCGAGAUCUCAGCCAUUCAUCGGAUCUAAUACAUGAUCAAUUUACCUAAACCAAUCAAUAAGUAAUACUCGGAUACAUGACGUGGCGAAAUCUCAUCCUUUCAUAAGGCUUUGGCGGCUGUUGUUUAAUGAAAUCUCAUCCGUUCAUCGCCCAACAAAGGCUUUGGCGUCUGCUCUCUUCAUCCUUUCAUCUUUUCAUCGCCUCGACUGAGAACAAAAUUCAGAACAAAAUUAAUUCAGAUUAGGUCUUCUCUUGGCUGAUCUCAGGAAAAAAUUAAUUCAGAUUAGGUCAUCACCUUUCAGCACAUACUUCUUCUCUUCUUCUUGUUUUCAUCACAUAUUCUCAAUUCUCAAUUCUUUUUUCCUCUCCUCCAUUACGAUUUACGAGAAUCUCUCUGCUUUAGCUUCUCACUCCACUGUAAGUUUCGUUUCUUCUGAGUUUAACAUUAGUCUCUCAAUUUGUCAACGCAAUGGUUUUCUCUCAUUACCUAGUCGACUUCUUCUUCUCCACCAGCGAUACAUCGAAGACGUUUCACCACCACCUUGGCGAGCCUCUUUUGAUGUUGGUUCUCAGGUGAGUUAAUUCUGGAUUUUUAGGGUUUACAUUGAAAUUUGAAUCACAAGUUUUAGCUUCUAAGAGCAUGAAACGGAUCUGCUUGUGUUAAGAGUUAAAUUUUGUGAGUAAACUUUAUUCUGGUAAUGUUUUGCUUCUUCGAGUAUUUUUUAUUUGUUUUGUGUUUGCUAUUCCUCUAGUAAUUAUGUCACUAAUUGAGUUUCAUGUUAUAGUCAAUCGCCCACCACCUGUUCGAUUAAAUGCCUCAAUGGGUUUAUUGUCUUGAAGCUGUUUUAAAACAGAGCAUAUGGAAGAUAUUUUAGGAUUGUUGUUCAGAUAUAUUAAGCAUUUACAUCAAUCUGGUUUUUUGUCUAUGAUUCAAUGAGAAUUUAAACUCAUUUUGAUCCUUGACAAACUUCAGAACUACAUAACUAGUAAUCCUUUUCUGUUGUUUUCUAUUGUAUGAUUUGAUUGCGUGACCACAUUGCUUAGCUUAUCUUAUUUGAAAAUUUUCAAACAGGAAAGACAUCUAUGAUGUGUGUGUUGAACUUGUUGAUUAUGAAGAGGUAAUGGUUGAUUCCCUACAGUGAUAGCUCUGAGUGGGUAUUGGAGUUUAAAGUUGUCUUAUUUGAUAUCUCUUAGGUUUGUAUAUUUUGCAGCUUCCUUAUUCUCAGGUUAUUAUAGUGCAUCCCAUGUAUUUUAUCACAGUGAGAAAAAAGCUUGUUAAUGGAUCAUAUCAUACAUUGCACGGUGUUCAAGGGCCUUACUGCACCUGUAAAAGAAAGUGAAGAAAGAAAUCAAAGAGCUCGCCAAGAAGAUCAACGAUCUUUGUGCUUGAAGCAACUGUAAAAGAAGACAAGGAAUGGCGUUGGCUGUUAAAUGGUAUGAGUUGGAGAUCUACUAGAGCUGCCUCGGUUUCUUUAUGACUUGGUUUGGUGAAGAAAUGUACUUGUGUUUUUUUCUUUAUGACUUGGUUGGUGAUUCAAGCCUUCUUUGUAUCUUUUGGGUAUUUGAUAGAAUGAUUCUUUGUAAAAUGUAUGUUUUAUAUAAUAUUAAUUUUAUUUAUGAAUCAAUUUGCAAUC